rnacentral:tRNA from 1 species
GCCCGGGAUAGGCUCAGUGGGAGCGNAACC